UAAAACUAAUAAAUGUGUAAUGUUAAAAGGACCGAAGGUCUUGUCUCUUAACAAGUUCUCUUGUUUUCUUGUCUAUUGACAAGCAUUUACGCUUUUGUUUCUUUCAUUUUUACCUUAGUCUUUCUUCAUUUGCUCUUUGUCUUGCAUUCCCCUUAUUCCCUAUAGAUUCUCUGAAUAAUCAAUAUGCUCGAAUCUCGUUAGCUGUGGAGGAAGAAGAUGGUUUGGAAGUGGAUAAAAUGGAG
rnacentral:lncRNA from 1 species